ensembl:snoRNA SNORD31 Small nucleolar RNA SNORD31
UCUGCGAGUGAUGAAUUGUUACCGCCCCAGUCUGAUUUCAGCUGACUGAUUCGGUAUCUUUCUGAUCAAC